GAUGAACGCUGGCGGCGUGCCUAAUACAUGCAAGUCGAGCGAACAGACGAGGAGCUUGCUCCUCUGACGUUAGCGGCGGACGGGUGAGUAACACGUGGAUAACCUACCUAUAAGACUGGGAUAACUUCGGGAAACCGGAGCUAAUACCGGAUAAUAUAUUGAACCGCAUGGUUCAAUAGUGAAAGACGGUUUUGCUGUCACUUAUAGAUGGAUCCGCGCCGCAUUAGCUAGUUGGUAAGGUAACGGCUUACCAAGGCAACGAUGCGUAGCCGACCUGAGAGGGGAGUGCGCCCACCUGGAACGGGAACCGGGGCCAGCCCCGUCGGGGGGGCAGCGGUGGGGAAUUUUCCGCAAGGGGGGAAAGCCUGACGGGGCACCGCCGGGUGGGUGAGAAAGGUUUUGGGACUGUAAAACUUUGUUAUUAGGAAAAAAAAAAUGUGUAAUAAACUAUCGACGUUUUGACGGUACCUAAGCAAAAGGCCACGGCUAACUACGU
rnacentral:rRNA from 1 species